AACGAACGCUGGCGGCGUGCCUAACACAUGCAAGUCGAGCGCGAAUGGAGCAAUCCUAGUAGAGCGGCGCACGGGUGCGUAACACGUGGGUAAUCUGCCUAGAAGAUGAGGAUAACCAGUCGAAAGACUGGCUAAUACUCGAUAAGCCCACGGGGACUUCGGUCCCUGAGGGAAAAGGUGGCCUCUGUAUACAAGCUAUCACUUCUAGAUGAGCCCGCGGCCCAUCAGCUAGUUGGCGGGGUAAUGGCCCACCAAGGCGACGACGGGUAGCUGGUCUGAGAGGACGAUCAGCCACACUGGAACUGAGACACGGUCCAGACUCCUACGGGAGGCAGCAGUGGGGAAUUUUGCGCAAUGGGCGAAAGCCUGACGCAGCAACGCGCGUGUGUGAUGAAGGUCUUCGGAUUGUAAAG
rnacentral:rRNA from 1 species